AAGGCCAGUUUCAGCCUAAGUUCUUCAAAAUUUUUGUCAAAAGACUUCAAUCUAAUCAGUUCCUAAAAAUUGUCCACUUUCUCAUGAGAAAUAACCUCGUAAGCCUGAUUUUGAAGCUUCACGCAAAUCAAACUCCAUUCUGGUGAAUGUUAAGAUAUGCUUCCAACUUUCCCGUUGCUGCCAAUAUGAAACCUAAAAAAAGCGGUGAGGGCCUUCGGGGACGUGAUUUGAACUCUGGAUGAAAUUGCACGCCUACAUAAAAAGGAUGACUUGGAAGCUCUAAAAUCUCCAUUCUAUUUCCUGUUUCAUCCUUCCCAACAAACUUCAAGCCUUUUUCUUCUAGAGCACCAAUUACCUGAGGGUUUACCUCAUAUCUAUGCCGAUGCCGUUCAUCUACAUAUUGAGGAUUACCAUACAGUUUGGCAGUAAUACAGUCAGGGGUCUGGAGUAAUGUCUUCCGGGAUCCUAGUCGCAUUGUGCUUCCCAUGUGUGUUGUUGAAC
rnacentral:misc_RNA from 1 species